GUGAAAGUAGACCUGCAAGCAGGUCUCAGCAAGAGGGCUCAAGGGCCUCAUACUUCUUUUGGCUGGAACCUUCUUUAGUGCUGUUCACUGAAGGAAGGUCAGGAGGAACAAGGCACAAGCGCAUUGGAUUCAGAAUUGGUAAAUACUUUGGAAUAAAACAGACAAUUAAAGAGGCUCAACUGCAGGAGAGAACACAUCAUCAUCUCAAGGAAGGGAGCUGCUUGUGCCUGCCAUGAUUCCUGAGAUCCAGGAGUAAUUCAGACGUCUUCUGGAUUUGCACCACAGACUGUUUCAAGAUGGCAAAAUGAGGGGAUAAUUCAUUCUAGGAUCAAUGUGCUUCCAGAUGAGAUUUACUCCCAAAUAUUCUGAACUCUCUCCAUAAGGAGCAAGCAAAACCAGAGAAAAAUUAUUUAACUCAGGAAACAGUAGUGUUACACUCCUUUCCUGGAAGUCACUUGGAAAUCCAGCAGCUUUUGUCAUUCCACUCACUGAGUUGAUGUCAAUGUCCUAGUAGUCGCCAGCCCACAGGCCAAUCUGUCAUGCCACCAGCUGCUGAAAACAACACAGGAUCCAUCCACAUUGACAAGAGGAAACGAGACACAUGGACCUUGACAAGUUCUACUGCCUCCAAAAAUGAAAUUGAUUUAGGCCACUAAAAACUCCAAGCUCUUUCAUUACAGGCAUUGGGAAACCACAAUAAAUCAGCUUAUUAGGGUGCAACAGGGGUACAAAUUGGUGUCUCAGUUAAUGUAGAUAAAGAUUUCAGUGCAAACUGCAUAUAUCAAAAAUUUAACACAUGCUGCCUGUAGAGGUUUAAUGAAUACAAAAAGCUCAGUUGCUGAAAACCAACCCAGGCAUUACUUCAUUUAGCUGUCAAUAAAAUUGUCUCUUAUUUUAUUUUCUAAUGGUUUAUCAAUACUGGUAAUUUGCUGCGGGUUAUAAAAAAAAUGAGGAUGGGGGAGGGAAAGGAAUUUAAAUAAAUCCUGCUA